ACCUAGACAGAUAUGUAACAACAGUUCCAACCUAGACAGAUAUGUAACAACAGUUCCAACCUAGACAGAUAUGUAACAACAGUUCCAACCUAGACAGAUAUGUAACAACAGUUCCAAUCUAGUCAGAUAUGUAACAACAGUUCCAACCUAGACAGAUAUGUAACAACAGUUCCAACCUAGACAGAUAUGUAACAACAGUUCCAACCUAGUCAGAUAUGUAACAACAGUUCCAACCUAGACAGAUAUGUAACCGUGUUUGUAAUGAGGAAUACAUAUAUAUUUCAUUUCAUUGUUAUUUGUUUUUAUUGCAUUUGUUUUUAGGCAUAUGGGCAAUGAAAUGUACCAAUAUUUACAUAGAGUUGCAUAUUUUCCAAAACUUGGGUCGCAGGAAAACAUAGAAUUUCUCAUCCCAGGCUGAAAAAGUUUAAGAACCCCUUCUUUAGAUGAGUGGGAUGAUUAAAGACCAGAGCACACUUUGCCCAGACAGAACUAUAGACAUCUUCAUCCUCACUAAUGAUAGGUAUGCGCCUAUAGAACCCUGACCUGUUCACUGGAUGUGCUACCUUGUCCCAGACCUGCUGUUUUCAACUCUCUAGAGACAGCAGGUGCAGUAGAGAUACUCUGAAUGAUCGGCUAUGAAAAGCCAACUGACAUUUACUCCUGAGAUGCUGACCUGUUGCACCCUCUACAACCACUGUGAUUAUUAUUAUCUGACCCUGCUGGUCAUCUAUGAACGUUUGAACAUCUUGGCCAUGUUCUGUUAUAAUCUCCACCCGGCACAGUCAGAAGAGGACUGGCCACCCCUCAUUGCCUGGUUACUCUCUAGGUUUCUUCCUAGGUUUCGGCCUUCAUAGGUUUCGGUUUUUCGGAGCCACCGUGCUUCUACACCUGCAUUGCUUGUGGUUUGGGGUUUUAGGCUGGGUUUCUGUACAGCACUUUGUGACAUCAGCUGAUGUAAGAAGAGCUUUAUAAAUAAAUGUGAUUGAAUUUGAUUGAUAAUGAUAGCUAUGUACCUUGCAGGUUGGCCUUAGGAUGUCAUUAUCUCCCCAGUAUCCAUUGUUUAACAUGCAGACAAGUGAGCUAUAUGUCCUUCAGUUUCUUGACUUUGUGCCAAAGGCCAGACAGACAGACGGGCGAAGGACUCUGAUCUGAUCCGGGUUGGGGUGGGGUGUGGUGGGGUUGGAGAACUGUCUGAGAGGGGGAGGCUGGCUGGAGGAGGAGACGGAGAGGAGUGCUCCUCCGUGGGGGUGAGUCAUCGCCUUCGGAGGCUAUUCAGUGAGUUCACUCUGGGAGGAUCGUGAUCCUUCGGUUGGUCGGUGAAUCCGCCGUCCUCCUCGCCACAGCCAGAGAGGGGCUGUGAAGGAAAGUGUGGGGGCCUGGCUGGGCUUAUGACUCAGGGCCACGCACCGCACAAGGAGUGAGGAAGGAGGGGGAGGGAGGGAGGAAUUACUCUGAGCAUGUGGAAUCUCAUACAGCUAUCACAGGACAUACACUGUGCUUCUACUAGGCUCUGAGGCUCUGUAGAAGUCUGUCCUUAGACACAGUGGUAAUGGCAGUGGUAAGACUGCUAAGGGCCGUUGGUUUCCAUUGAAGAGGAACAGAACAGAGCAGUAUAUUCCUGUCCUCGCACUUUGAAACAAAGUCAUGCCCCCCUUCUUAUUGAAUGAAUGACUUUCUAGCACAGCAAGUCGGUGCAGGUUUGACGCUCUGCAACUCCAGCAAAGUAAUUAAGCAUUGCAUGCUGUCAAAAUAUUCCAUUACAAAAGUCUUGAAGAUUUGGGAAGUGUCUCCGGUGACUAUCUAGGAUGGGAGGGGAGGUGAGUUGGGCCGUUUAUUGUCCAGUUCUUCCUGUUUCUUUCUUGAGUGAUGAUGCUCCUCCUCCAGCUCUGUCAUUGGAGAAAUCCUUUCAAAUAACAGAGCUUCAUUGAGUGAUGAUGACAAACAUUUCCAGAAAGAGAAUGUGAGGGGUGAGAGAACUACCUGUAUGACAUGCAAUACGGACUCUCUAUGCGCCCCCUCUAGUGUGAGUCAUCAGGCCUAAAGACGCCGAGCUGUGAGUGGUGAAUCAGGUGUUGAUAAUGGCCAACAGUGGAGGGCUGGUCAGCCGACGGGUGGGGGCUGGUGUGUGUUGGGUGUGUGUAUUGUGUGCAGUGCGUGCAUGUAUUGUUGUGUGCAUGUAUUGUGUGAUGUGAGUGUGGAGGGAGAUUAUGGUGUGUGUGUGUCUCCAUGAAGGGGAGUUGAUGUUGUGUGAUGCAUGACUCAACACGAGAGGAAGGCCACACCCAUGGGACGAGCCCAGGCUCCCUUCAGCGGCGGCAUGGGCCUAGAUCUCACUGACUAUGGGUGCCACGAUUAAAGUGUAUUGUCCUAACUGAUGAAGCUCAAACACUUGAAGAGCCACUCAAAUCCUGCACAAACACUCCGACACAAAGGCAGAGAGGCCGGGCGAGAAAGUGGAGCACACCUUCACCCUCCGCUGUAUGCCCCUUUAUAAACAAACUCUUCCAACCUGAUUUCAGCCAACCAGCUACUGAGAGUCUGGGCCCGUAUUCACAAAGCGGGUCACGGCACCAAUAUAACAGUAUAACUUUAGACCGUCCCCUCGCCCAUACCCGGGCGCAAACCAGGGACCCUCUGCACACAUCAACGACUGACACCCACGAAGCAUCGUUACCCAUCGCUCCACAAAAGCAGAGCAAGGGGAACCACUACUUCAAGGUCUCAGAGCAAGUGACGUCACCGAUUGAAACGCUAUUUAGCGCGUACCACCGCUAACUAAGCUAGCCGUUUCACAUCCGUUACACAUACAAUCAUAUUCAUUAUGGUAUAAAAUGCAAAAAACUGAACCUAGAUCUGCACUCCUACUCUGAGACACUUUAUGAUAGGGACAACCCAGAGUAAAUAGAACGACUUAGCCAUGGCUUAACCAUGUGUUGCAUCUCCAUAAUGGUAAUUUCCUCCAGUAAUUACUCAUCAUUAAAGGUCUCACUCCCAAUCACCUGGUUAGUGUUUAUAAUACGGUCUGCCUUGGUAAAUCCCCAUCAUUCUGAAAUAGCCUGAUUGUGUUUAAUUGGAGCAUUCACUAAACAGAGUCCACCCACCAGCAUCAACAAAUCCAAUAUAUUUUAACAGCAGGGAACAAUUUAAUCCGCCUCCAUAUAUCACCAUUGUAAACAACCAAGACGCAGAGCCCAAUGUUGCACAACGAGCCUGCGUUGAGGAGGAGUUGAAAGGUCAGGUAAACACUUGUCCCAGGCUUUCCCUGCCUUUUUAAUCAGGACUCCUGUCCAUUUUUUUUAUCUUGAUUAGAUCUCUUGACUUAUGGCUGUGUACACUAAUGCUGCACUUCUGGCGGCUCCUUAACUCACUGUUUGGUUUGUUUCAUGUGGACGGGAAUGUCAAGUUGCUUGUUGGCCUGGAGGCUUGUGCGCUGAGUCGCCGACAAACCAUGGAAUGAAUCCUUUGCAGACUAAUGGGCGGGCCAACCUUUUCCAGUGUUUGUCAUGUGUCAGAGGAGGACCCUCAGUCUGCUGCUCUCUCCCUCCGCUGAGACUGACCCUCAGUAUGCUGCUCUCUCCCUCCGCUGAGACUGACCCUCAGUCUGCUGCUCUCUCCCUCCGCUGAGACUGACCAUCAGAUGCAGGCUCCAUCAGCCUAGUAAAAUUAAAAUGAUUGAAGUGUAUGCUCAUUCAGCUGUCCCUCACAAUAAUACAACAAAUGACCUAUUACCGGUGUGAUCAUAUAGCCUACCUUAAAUGUUGAAAUAUAAUUGUAAAAAAGGGUCUGAGAAGCAAAGCCAAUAUGCAGUGAUAAUGUAUUGGGCCUAUAGCCUACUGCACAAACCUCAUUACUACAGUACCGUUUUUAAUAGGUCAAUGUUGCCCUACGUUUUUUAAAUCAUGUACAACAACAAAAGAAACGGUUGAACGGUAGAUCUCGGCUUGCAUCAGAAAUUGAUCCGACUCAGAAAAGGUAUGUGACCGCCUGCUUUGGAUCAUUCCAGGUGGUCCCUGCCUUCUUCGUCUUGUAUUAUUCCUCUUCAUUGUCUUCACCUUCUUCUCAAUAAAUAGGUUUUAUUCAGUAGCCAACUGUUGCAUCAAUACAUGCCACCAUCUCUAGAAUAUGGCUGUAGAUUUCUUCUGAAGUAGGGGGAUAUUUAUGAUGUAACACACAACUGCAGUCUUUUGAAACGUUAGCAGCCUCCGCCACGGCCAUUUUAGAUAUAUAAAGUUAAUAAAGAAGUUGUAUUGGAGUAAACACUCGUCCCCGUUCCCAGAGCGACAGAGAAGAAAAAUGUAUCUAGUGCAGUAAAUUGAACUCAACUUUGCCUCGUUCAUGAACUCGCCUAAAAAUAACCUGUUCCAACAAGUGAAACACUUUCCAGCUAAGCUAACACCGAGGCCCUUUAAAGUAACAUAAGAUAAUUGGUUUUCAAUUAUGAGAUACCAAUUUAAACCAGGUUAGCCUCUGUCAAAGGCUGAGAAACGCAUGAAAAGUGUCGGACAUCACCAUAUAAAGGUAUUUUCUCUAAAUACUCUGAUACAGGGCUUUCAGAAAGUAUUCACACACCUGGACUUAUUCCACAUUUUGUUGUGUUACAGCCUGAUUUUAAAAUGGAUUCAAUUCAGAUGUUGUGUCACUAGCUUACACACAAACAAACAGGCCUGGAUGAGAUCUUUAAGGUCAGGGUCCUCCGCAAGGCUCACAAAAUCAUUUUAGACCCAAACCACCCCCUGUACCCGGACUUUAAACUACUUCCCUCUGGGCGCAGGUAUAGGGCACCCCUCAGCAGGAAAAACAGAACUAGACAAUAAUUUGUGCCAGGUGUGAUAUCCCUCCUAAAUAGCUCCGGCUAAUGUUCCUAUCGACUCAGUAAGGCCAGCAGGCUAGUCUUUUGAAAAAUGUUUUAAAAAAAAAAUGUUUUAUUGGUAUGUAACUGUUAUGAAAGUUGUAUUGUCAAUUUUGUUUUGUAUUUAAAUGCCACUUUAAAUGUGAACAUGACACCGCAACAACAUUUCCCCAUGGGGACAAUAAAGUCAGAAAGUAAGUCAUGUCAAAGUGGAAAUUGUACAAAUGAAUUAAAAAUGAAAAUCUGAAAUGUC